rnacentral:rRNA from 1 species
AUAAACGCUGGCGGCGUGCCUAACACAUGCAAGUCGAGCGAGAAAACUCUUUCGGGAGUGAGUACAGCGGCGGACGGGUGAGUAACGCGUGAGAAUCUGCCCUUUAGUGAAGAAUACCUCCGAGAAAUCGGGGCUAAUGCUGCAUAAGUCCCUUCGGGGAGAAAGAUGGCCUCUUUGCUGUCGCUAAAGGAUGAGCUUGCGUACUAUUAGCUAGUUGGUGGGGUAAUGGCCUACCAAGGCGAUGAUGGUUAGCCGGCCUGAGAGGGUGUACGGCCACAUUGGAACUUAGACACGGUCCAGACUCCUACGGGAGGCAGCAGUGAGGAAUAUUGCGCAAUGGGCGAAAGCCUGACGCAGCGACGCCGCGUGGAGGAUGAAGGUCUUAGGAUCGUAAACUCCUGUUAAGUGGGAAGAAAGAUUCAUCCCUAAUACGGAUGGAAGAUGACGGUACCAUUAGAGAAAGCACCGGCUAACUUCGU